GUGCUCACUUUGGCAGCACAUAUACUGAAAUUGGGAACGACUCAGAGAUCAGCGUGGCCUGCUCCAAGGAUGACACACAAAUUGAUGAAGCGUUCCAUAUUUUU
rnacentral:snRNA from 1 species